UCUAGAACUCGAGAUAUGGGCUAAACACUGAACAGUGUCUGGGCUGCAGGACAGAUUCGGACUUCUUUGUUGUUACUACAAUUUGGACUUGAAAACGGCAUUGUUAAUUCUUGGAUUCCUCAUAAAAGUUAUAGCCCUAUGUCUUAGCUUUCCAUC
rfam:Populus trichocarpa isolate Nisqually-1 chromosome 13, whole genome shotgun sequence.